rnacentral:ncRNA from 2 species
UAAUUCUUUCGGGGUUUUAUGAAAUUCAUGAUCGGUAGUAUACUCUACGACCCGCCCUUUGGGCGAGGAUGAGUGGGUGUAACUCCCACAGCGACCGUUAUAGUCGGGUAUAAAGAAAGAAUGU